rnacentral:misc_RNA from 1 species
AAAAUGUCAAAAAACGAAAAAUGUUAGAAAUAAAGAAUUUUAUCUAUGACAUUGAUGAAUUUUCACAUCAUCAUAGAACAAGUUAUUGGAAGUGAUGAAACUCAUUCUUGCUAUAAGGAUACAAGUAUCAAGUAUCAGGCACAGGACAGCAUCUAAUCUACAAUGAGUUCAAUGAUACUUUAUGCAGUGAUGCUUAUUGUUUCAACAAUGAGGUUGAGAUGGUAGAUCACCAUUCAAUGGUCCCAGAUGGAAGAGGAAGAGGGGGAUAGAGAUUGAAAAAGUAACAAGAACAUUACAUUGUGGUUCCUGGUGUGGAGAAAGGAAGUGAGGAGUUAAUAACUAAUGCAGGCACUCAAGAUUCACUGGUAACAACAUCCUAAGGCACAAAAUGCUGCCUAAAGUAAUAUAUUUG